GUAUUUUAAGACCAAAGUUGAUGAUGUGCAUUUUAUUUAGGACAGUCACCAUAUGCUACAGUAUAUAAACAUAGCAUUUUUACAUAGUCUGUAUCAAACAACAAACAAAAUGAAAGGCUUCGUACUGAUGUCAGUCGUGUGUUUAUUAUUUAUUACAAUAAGCACUAACAAUGUGGCAGAAGGUAAUCUUUGUUUUAUUUAUUUUGCUUAAUUGAAUAAUUAAGAAUUUAAGUCCGCUCAGCUGUCUUUUGAAGAUCAUAUAACUAUUAACGAAAGAGGCUUAUUGAAAACCAAAUGUGUUCUUGAAACAAAUCUAGUAUAUAUGUCGUUUACAGGUUAUUACUUGUACAAAAACUUUGUAUGAGUAAUUACUAAUAUGAUGCCAUCAUACAAGUUAUUACCUGUACAAAUAUAAUUGUACCAUGCAGUAAUUACUUGUACAAUUUUUGUUGAGAAAAAGAUAAUAACUUGUACAACACAAUAUAUUUGAGUUGACUGUGCUUCUACUUUUGCUUUAAACAAAAUGUUUCAUAGAAAAAGUUAUUUUUUUGAGUUAGUAAGUCUGGAAUUGUUUUGUGAAUUGUCGGGUAUUAUUUUUCUUUUACUGUUUUCUCGUAUUUAUUUAUUUGUUUGUUAAUUUUUGUUGAGCCUUCGACUUUAGUCGAAAAAGGGAGACAUAACGAUCGUACAUUCCGUCGGCGGCGGCGUCCACAAAUAUUCACUCUUUGGUUAAAGUUUUUGAAAUUUUAAUAACUUUCUUCAACCAUCCUAGAUUUGUAUUUUUCCGUAUUUAACUUAUAAAUGGACUAAGUUUUUCUGCCCAUUCACUCUGUGGUUAAACUUUUUAAAAUUCUAAUAAACUAUCCUGGAUUUUUACCAAACUUUGACAGAAGCUUCUUGAAAUAAAAAAAUAGUAUAGAGAGGAAUGUUUUUAUUGUUUGUUUUACUCAUUUUUGUUGAGCCUGCCAUUAACAGCAAAAGUAGGCGAGCCACUGGAUUCAUUGGAACCCUUACUUUUUUUUCUUAUCAUAGAGCGUAUGUUUUUUUGAAAUCUAUAUUGUGAUGUUUUUCUUUUCUUUUUUUCAAAUGUGUAUUCUGUACUUAGCGUUGUUUUUUGUUGUUGUUGUUGUUGUAUGGGGUAUACAAGUACCCGGCCACGUCCCCUCUGUGUAGUAUUUCUGAUUGUAUCCAUUUGAUGACUUAAGCCUCUUUCAACUGAUUUGUUUAGUUCGUUCUUAUGUUGUAAUGUUACACACUGUCCCAGGAAAGGGGAGGGUUGGGACCCUGUUAACAUGUUUAACCAAACCACAUUAUGUAUGUGUCUGUCCCAAGCCUGUCAUUCAAGGGUUGUCGCUUGCCGGUGUGUUAUAAAAAAAAAUGUUCAUUUUUGUACAUAAAUAAGGCCGUUAGUUUUCUCGUUUAAAUUGUUUUACCAAGGAAUCCAGUGGCUCGCCUACUUUUAUUUACAUUUGCCAUUUCGAGGCCUAUUAAAGCUUCCUAUGCGGUAUGGGCUUUGCUCAUUGUUGAAGGCCGUGUGGUAAUCUAUGUUUUUUUAAUUUCUAUGUCAUUUGGGCUCUUGUGGAGAGUUGUGUCAUUAGCAAUUAUAUAACAUCUUUUUUAUAUUAGUAUUAUUUUUGAAAAGUUAGAAGAAUUCAGACACCCGACGAACGCAGAGAAACAACAUAACUUAGCAUGAGACAUUGAGCUAAUUUAGCUUAACAGCUUGUUGCAACUUAAAUACUGAUAAAUGGUGCAAAGUGACAAAGUCGUUAAAAGCAAAAAUAAAUAAAACCCUUCUACAAUUUAUUUUCAAACAUAAAUCUUGUAAAACAGUUGCAUAUGAAAUAUCAUAUAUUUGAAUUAAAGGUAAAACCUAAACGAUCAAAGUAGAAGCACAUACAACUCAAAUAUAUUGUGUUGUACAAGUUAUUAUCUUUUUCUCAACAAAAAUUGUACAAGUAAUUACUGGUACAAUUAUAUUUGUACAUGUAAUAACUUGUUAACAUACUAUAUAGUAAAAAAUCAUUUCUGUAGAUCACCGAAAGGGGAAGUGGUCUAGAACACAGUAUUAUUUUAUUUAGGGGGUUCACUAUACACGCAAAUUUUUAUUAGUCUUCACUUCAAGGUUAAUCGAGCAAAUUUUAUUUAAUAAGGCUUUUUACAGUUUUUUUUACUUUACUACGGGCUCAUAAGGAUCUUAAAUCUGAUUUUAUUGCUGUGUCCACAAUAGACACAGCAAUAUUAUUCUACGUAUUUCACCUGUAUCGGUUUGGACAAUUCCAUGGACUAUUCCAUACACACACCAUUAUGCUUAAGGGGUUUUCAUAUGUCAUGUCAAGAUGAUAUAGGCUAUUUACCGUUGUUUGCCACAAAAAAAAAUCUGGUAAAGUCACUUUUCUGAAAAACCAAUAUAAAUAUAGUUAACAUAUUUAUAUAUUUAAUCUAACUGUGUUCAUUGACCCGAAUUUUUUAAUGACAACACACACCUAAAAUUCGUUUUGGUCUAUUCCAUGACAUUUGCGCGGGAAAUAUUCAUCAGAGACUUUAAUAAUUUUAAUGGACGUUCAUUUGGAAAAUUUUACUAUCUAUUUUAUGUGAACAAUUGUCAUAUGUUUUUGUUUUUCAUACAUUUAAAGGAUCAACGUUAUUUAAAUUCCGUAUAUCUUCAUUUGACAUCAGGUUUGUACGCAUUUAGUCUCUUCUCUAGUCUAUAAUCAAAACUGAAGGCCGCGAAGGGACACAUGUCAUGAUGACACGUGCUGCACAAUCCCACACAUUUCACAUUAUGUAAUAAAAUUCUACUGUUUGCGAUAAAAAUAUUCACUGUUUAGGGGUGUUGAAAUUAUUAGGUCUUGCAUAGUUGAUGCGUAUCCGAUCCGUGAUUUGUAUAUAUUUCAAUGGUGCUCUCGGUAAGGCCAAAAAAAUAUAUGUUUGAUUAUGGGUACCUGACCGAUCCUAUUUUGAGCACCCACCCUAAGCCAUUUUAUUGCCGUCGUAAGAAAUAAUCCAAUCAUUAUAAAUAGGGGAACUCUCGCCCCAUGGACAACUCGGACCACACAAUUCCAAAAUCAUGGCACAAAAAAUAAAUGGAUGGACAAAUAAUAAAAAAGAAAAUACCGACCUACCUACCUACCCUACAUAUUUUGAUGAUGUAACCUUAAACAGACAUGUUAGUUUUUCGUUUGAAUUGUUUUACAUUGUCUUAUCAGGGCCUUUUAUAGCUGACUGCGGUAUGGGCUUUGCUCAUUGUAACAUGUACAACAAUCAAACAUCAAACCCACACUAAAACUGAAUGUAAUUGUAACAUGUACAACGAAUCAAACAUCAACCCACACUAAACUGAAUGUAAUUGAAAGACAUCUAGAGGUGAUAUCAGAGGUGGAUUUAGGGGGGGGGGGCCUGCUUUUUGAGAAAAAUUUGGUUGCUUAUAUAGGGAAUCACUGAAUCGUGACUGGAGCGAGCCCCCUCUUAGGUCAGUCAGUGGGCUCCCACUUUAGAAAAUUUCUGGAUUCGCCACUGGAUAUACAGUAUCGAACAGAAGAUAAAAAAAAGGGAACAAUAUGGUGAAUUUUUAGAGAUUAAUAUUAUUUCAUGUACAUGCAUUUGAAAUAUUUAAGAUAUAUUGUUUCCCUUUUUUUUGUUCUAGGUUCCACGGUGACCUAGCUUCCAUUUUCGAAAACUGUGAUUUAAAUGCUAGUCUAUUAGAGGGAUAUUUCCUUUUCAUUGGUUGUAGAUAUGGAAUCUUAUUUUUAUACCAUGAAGUCAGAUUUGAAAAUGACUUUGGGAAUGAAGAUAUCGUAAAGACUGAAUGUCAGUUUUAGUCUUAUAUAUCUAUAAUACUAAAAUUACGAGGUCCAAUUUGUCAGCCGUCAUCGCUUAAAAACGACGAAUCAAAGAAUUCGACUUUAUAUAUAACUAAUAUAGUACAAAGGUGUAGAUUAAAAAUUACACCACUCCAGGCCCUUUUGUUUUCCACGUAAUUAAUAUUGCCAAUAAUUAAGAAGUUCCGGAUCGAGUCCGAUACCGAUACCAAAAAUUAAUAGUAUAUUCACCUGUUACCGAUUACCUUAUUUGUACGUUCCGCGUCUGACAGGUGCACCACCAAACGGUGUAUUCAGGAUUAAUAUGCUAUAUACACGGGUCGUAUCCACAGGGUUGAAACUACUAAAUUGUCAAAUUUUAAUCAGUUUAGACUUUCUAAGAUACAUUGUAACAAUACAAAUACUAAAAUCUGGACUAAAAAUAAGGCGUAUAGGUACAGUUUUCAAUUUGUUAGCCGGCAUGACGUAAAACAGCGAAUCAAAGAAUUCAAUUUUAUUUACAACUAAUACAUGUAUGUAUAUGACAAUGCUGUUGAUUAAAAAAAUUACUCCAUUCCAGGAACUUUUGUUUUUUCAAAUAAUUAAUAUUACCAAUAAUUGAUAAGUUCCAGUUCGACGGUUUCAAUCAGAAAGAUUUGAAAGCAGAGAAAACUGUGUAUCGUUUAAUCGGCAUAACUUUAUCAGAUAAAAAUACUAAUACUAAAAUAAGGCUUGCACAUAGUUAUAUACGUUAACUCAGUCAUGGACCUGCGAUACCACGUGUCUGUUCUAGUGUACUUUAUAAUUUUAGUCUUGCAUGUACAUAAUUAUGUGUACAUAUAUCACUGAUUCAGUGGCAAUGGUAAAUAGACACUGACAAGUCUUAGAUUUAUAAUAUUUUAUAGUUUUGAAUGUUUUGUCCGUUGACUAAAAUUAGGUGGAGGUUUGUGUGUUCUUAUUUCCAACAGAGGUAAACUCAACACAUAUCAAUAUGUGCAUGAAGCAAAUUGAUAGUUGCUAGAUACGGAAUGAUUGUACCACAAGAAAGUUUAAACCUGUGUGUAUAUACUUAAAAUAUGAUAAAAAAAAUCAUGUCUUUUUCAGGACUUCUGAAUCCAACCAUGUAGUAUGGAAUGUUUUUGAGAUGCGGUUUUGGUCGAUGGAUGUUAAUGAAGGACCUGUAGUACAAAGUAUAUCACUGAAUUUAGCUCUUUGUCUAAGUGUAUUAUUGAAUACUUUGCUUUGAGCUCAGUUCAUUGUUAUGCAAAUCAUUCUUUGUGAAAUAAAGAUUUGACAGAAAACUCUCAUGUACAAGGAUUUGUCAAAGUAGUAUCACCUCUAUUUACAAUGUAAGUAUUAGGGAGAUAAAAGCAUUCUAUAUUGAUUUGAACCAAAUAUAUUAUAAAAAAAAAAGAACAAAUUUACCCGAGAAUGCUACUACCACUACUAGCAAUAUGAUGCUAGGUUGUUUUAAUACAUCUGUACUAGCUGCCUACUGAUGACUCGGUUCUGAGUGUAAAUGGUCCUUCAACUAUGCAGGGAAAAAUUAUAAGGCAUAUCUAGGCUUAUCAAUUUCUAAAACAAUAUUUCAUCGUACAUGUUUGAAAUUUUAAACAACCACAGAAAUUUUUGCAGUUGAAAUACAUGUAUGUAUCCUGUCGUCGUCUUCCCAAGACGGAUGGUUUCCAGAUAAUAACUUCAGUAUAAGUAAAAAGGAAGCCUUAAAAUUAUAACAUACUGUGGAUUCAUUUAUUUUCGUGGGUACCAAUUUUCGUGGAUUAAAGAAAGUUUGCAAUUUGUGGAUAUUUAAUUUCGUGGUUUUGCCGAAGUCUGCAUACAAGCCUAUAGAAAAUUUGUUAAUCGUUGAACAUUUAAUUUAAUAAGACUCUAGCCACAAAAGCCACGAAAAUUGGUAUCCAAAGAAUAAUAAUGCAUCCACAGUAAUAUUUAUAAUCAUAAAAGGAAGCCUGGGAUUGUUUUGGGGGGUUAUAUAUAUAGUCCCUAAGGUUUAGGAAUAAGGGUUCCAAAGGUGACCAAAACAAGCAUUAAUCUAGUGUCCGUACAAAAAGUUGUGUAUAAGUAUUUCAAUUGUUCUGAAAUUGUACCAUAAUAUUGAAUACCAUAAGUAGAAGGUUGAGGUCUAUUUUGUGGGUUAUGGGUCAAACAGUCUAGGAAUUAAGGGCCAAAAACAAACAUUUUUGUAGAUUCCAGACAAUAAAUUUGAGUUAUUUCUUUGUCCAGAAUGGUUGUUGAAUUACCUAAAACCAAUGCUUUAUGAAAUCUUCUUUAAAAAUUGGAGUUUAGAUUUCUCUGUCCAUAAUAGUAGUUGAAUCAACUUAAAAUAAUGCUAUACAUGUAUAUACACUAUACUAUGCAAAAUUCACUUUACUACCAACUGAUAAAUUUAAGCAGUCUUUAAUAGCCAUUCAGUGAUUACAAGCACUUUGAUUAUCAUUCUAGGGUUAUGCCCUUUCACAAAUGGAAAAAUUUCUCAAGUUUGUCUCAACUAAAUUUAGUGAAAUGUGUAUAUAAUGCUUAUUACCUCUAAACUCAGUUUAAGUUCAAUUUUUGGCAGCUUCACUUUAUGUACCUUUUUAACGUUAUAUGCUAGCGGGGGCAUCAUCACCAUGACUGUAUGACAUUUAUAUUUUAAUACUUAAUGUUUUAUUAAAAUGAGUAGUUGAAUAAUUAUUGUUGCAAACUCCAUUAGAAAUUUGAUUUGAGAUCAUUUUUAUACCACCACAAAAAUUGAAAACUUUUUGGUUGUACAUUUGUAUCACGUUGGCGUCAUCGUCUUCAUCCAAAGACAUUUGGUUUUAGCACUCUAACUUAAGUAAAAGUCAAUAGAAAUAUAUGAAAUUUAGACACAAGGUUUAUGACCAUGAAAGGAAGGCUGGGAUUGUUUUUGGUAUUUUGGUCUCAACAGUUUAGGAAAAAGGGCCCAAAUUUAGCAUUGUUCUUGGUUUUUGCUCUAUAACUCAAGUAUUAGUAAACAGAAAUCUAUGAUAUUUUAACAUAAGGUCUAUGGCCACACAAGGAGGGUUGGAAUAGAUUUUGGUAGUUUUAGUCCCAACAGGGUAGGAUUUAGGAACCAAAAACAGGUCCCAAAUAAGCAUUUUUCUUGGUUUUUUUAACAAUACCUUUAGCAUAAGUUAAUAGAAAUCUAUAAAGGUUUAUGACCACAAAAUGAAGGUUUGGAUUAUUUUUGGGAGUUUUGGUCCCAAGGAAUAAGGGUCCAAAAUUAAACUUUGUUUGCUUUCAUCAAAAAAAUGAAUUAUUGUGCUUCUUUGAUAUGCCAAAUCUAACCGUGUUAAGAUUCUUAAUUUUUGGUCCUGUUUUUAAAUUGAUCUACAUUAAGGUCCAAAGGGUCCAAAUUUAAAAUCAGCUUGAUUUUAACAAAAAUGAAUUUUUGGGGUUCUUUGAUAUGGUGAGUCUUAACAUGUACUUAGAUUUUUGAUUAUGGGCCCAGUUUUCAAGUUGGUCCGAUCAAAAAUUGAAUUCUUCGGGUUCUAUGAUAUUCUGAAUUUAACCAUGUAUUUAGAUUUUGGAUAUUGGACCAAAAUAGGUAAAUGUCCAAUUUAAAAUUUUUAAGUUGAAGUUCUUUAUAGACCACAUUCAAUCUGUGUCAGAAACCUAUGUUGUGUCCAUACUAGCCCCAACCGUUCAGGUUUCCACCUCUGCAGUCGUAUAAAGCAGCACCCUGCGGAGUAUCUGUUCCAUUCAUUUGUUUUUUCUUAAUUUGUGUGAAUUAACAUUGUUACAGUAAAUGCUAAUUACUACACUUGCAUACCACAACAAAUACUGUAUUGGUACAUGUAUCACUUAUAUUUGUAUCCAUAUAACAAAACAAAAAAUGAAAAGGAAUAAUUUUGCAAUACCUUUUGAGUACUAAAUAGCUUUUUAGGUAUUUAGACAUAUUCUAAGACUUAUUAAGUAGAUGUUGAUGAUAUCUGCUUGACAUGCUUCAAAUUCGAUCAGAUUACUUUUGGAGCAGUUGUGAGUCUUUGAAGCAUGCUCACAAAGGUUCUUUUGGUCAAAAUUUGUCUUUGCUUCGACCAGCUUUGGAGGAGAUAUAAAUCAGCACAGAGGUUUACUUCCGAUCUUAUUUAGCCCCAAUAAUCAUGUCAGACUUAAGCCAUUGUCAUUACUUAAAACCAAUAAAUGUAUUCUAAUCUGAGGAAGAAAUUCGACAUUUUAAAUUUUUUUUUUACUAAUGAUACUGACGAUCCACCACAAAGUAAUGUAAAUAGAACCAUACCAAUAGUAAGCAAAUACAUAUAAAAAAAGAUGAGGUAUGAUUGCCAAUGAGACAAUUCUCCACAAGAGACCAAAUCGACACAGAAAUUAACAAUUCCCAGCUACAAAAUGUAUCCAAAACCAAAGAUGUAGAACAUGUUCUAUCAUAAUCAUUUGGUAACUAAUGUAAUUACUGUCUCCCCAUGUCUGUAUUGAACAUAAAAAAAUAUCAAAUAAAUAACACUCCUAAUGCUCAGAUCGGUUGUCACCGUGCAACACAGUUAUUAACACCAUAUAGGAAAAACAUAGAACUUUAUUGUCAUAAGACACUGUCAAACAUCCAAACACACUAUCCACACUCAUCUGUGUCCACACUUGUAUUGAUAUAAUAAACCUUGCAACAAAAAAACCGGUUCAGCUACCAGUAAAAUGACAACUAGCAUGAACAAAGACGUUAAUAGCGCAUCGACUGUUCGAAAGCAGGGUAAACAUGUUUGCUACAACAGUAAGCAAGAAAAGCUAUUCACGGCUGUUUCUGAAAUCAGUAGAACAGUUUAAGUAAAAGAAAAUCCAAAAAGUGCUUUUAACAGAUUUCGUUGGUCCUCUUCAAUAUAUAUUUUAUAGUAUAUAACUUCUUUACCUAUGCCGUACUCACCACCAAUAUAAAACAUUUGCAAUAACUUUAUUUGAUAAAAAAUUAAUAGGCAACAUAAAAGCAUAUUACUUACAUAAAAAAAAACUCCUCAUCAUUUGCACAUCAAAGAAAAAGCCUCAUUUUUUGUAUUUAAACAAUAUUUUUUUCUUUCAGGUCGUCCACCGCCAUGCUGUGCUUGCGUCCGAGCACCGUGUAAUUGUCCACCAUGCAGUCCACCCUGGCCAACAUACAAACCACGACGACGAUAUCCUCAUUACGGAUAAACUUAUUUUUACAAAAAUCUGAUUAAAUAAUUUGAUUAUUUGAGUUUACAAAAUAGUUAGAAGGCAUGACAACAUUGUACCAAAGUAUUCAAAAUAAAAUUGUGUUAUUUUAACUAGUU
rnacentral:lncRNA from 1 species